rnacentral:rRNA from 1 species
AUUGAACGCUAGCGGCAUGCCUAACACAUGCAAGUCGAACGGCAGCACGAGGAGCUUGCUCCUUGGUGGCGAGUGGCGGACGGGUGAGUAACGCGUAAGAAUCUGCCUCGUAGUGGGGGACAACCCGGGGAAACUCGGGCUAAUACCGCAUAAUCUCUUCGGAGCAAAGUUGGGGACCUUCGGGCCUAACACUAUGAGAUGAGCCUGCGUUGGAUUAGCUAGUUGGUAGGGUAAAGGCCUACCAAGGCGACGAUCCAUAGCUGGUCUGAGAGGACGACCAGCCACACUGGGACUGAGACACGGCCCAGACUCCUACGGGAGGCAGCAGUGGGGAAUAUUGGACAAUGGGCGAAAGCCUGAUCCAGCAAUGCCGCGUGUGUGAAGAAGGCCUUCGGGUUGUAAAGCACUUUUAGUGGGGAAGAAAAAGACAAGGAUAAUACCCUUGGAAAUUGACGUUACCCACAGAAAAAGCACUGGCUAACUCUGUGCCAGCCGCCGCCGUAA